CUACGGGCGGCAGCAGUGGGGAAUAUUGCACAGUGGGCGCAAGCCUGAUGCAGCCAUGCCGCGUGUAUGAAGAAGGCCUUCGGGUUGUAAAGUACUUUCAGCGGGGAGGAAGGGAGUAAAGUUAAUACCUUUGCUCAUUGACGUUACCCGCAGAAGAAGCACCGGCUAACUCCGUGCCAGCAGCCGCGGUAAUACGGAGGGUGCAAGCGUUAAUCGGAAUUACUGGGCGUAAAGCGCACGCAGGCGGUUUGUUAAGUCAGAUGUGAAAUCCCCGGGCUCAACCUGGGAACUGCAUCUGAUACUGGCAAGCUUGAGUCUCGUAGAGGGGGGUAGAAUUCCAGGCGUAGCGGUGAAAUGCGUAGAGAUCUGGAGGAAUACCGGUGGCGAAGGCGGCCCCCUGGACGAAGACUGACGCUCAGGUGCGAAAGCGUGGGGAGCAAACAGGAUUAGAUACCCUAGUAGUC
rnacentral:rRNA from 1 species